AUUGAACGCUGGCGGCAGGCCUAACACAUGCAAGUCGAACGAGUGGCGGACGGGUGAGUAAUGUCUGGGAAACUGCCCGAUGGAGGGGGAUAACUACUGGAAACGGUAGCUAAUACCGCAUACCAUCGGAUGUGCCCAGAUGGGAUUGGCUAGUCGGUGGGGUAACGGCUCACCUAGGCGACGAUCCCUAGCUGGUCUGAGAGGAGGACCAGCCACAUGGGAACUGAGACACGGUCCAGCCUCCUACGGGAGGCAGCAGUGGGGAAUAGUGCACAAUGGGCGCAAGCCUGAUGCAGCCAUGCCGCGUGUAGGAAGAAGGCCUUCGGGUUGUAAAGUACUUUCAGCGAGGAGGCGUUACUCGCAGAAGAAGCACCGGCUAACUCCGUGCCAGCAGCCGCGGUAAUAC
rnacentral:rRNA from 1 species